rnacentral:sRNA from 1 species
GGGUGGAGGCGGCAGGGGCCCGGAGGGGCUGACAGGCCCUCCUGGCUCGCUCGCUCCCCAGUCUGUGGGAAACGGUAUAAGAACCGGCCGGGGCUCAGCUACCACUACACCCACACCCACCUGGCCGAGGAGGAGGGGGAGGAGAACGCCGAACGCCACGCCCUGCCCUUCCACCGGAAAAACAACCAUAAACCCAAGAAGGCGCCCGACGGCACUGUCAUCCCCAACGGCUACUGUGACUUCUGUCUGGGGGGCUCCAAGAAGACGGGGUGUCCCGAGGACCUCAUCUCCUGUGCAGACUGUGGGCGAUCAGGACACCCCUCGUGUUUACAAUUCACGGUGAACAUGACGGCAGCCGUGCGGACCUACCGCUGGCAGUGCAUCGAGUGCAAAUCCUGCAGCCUGUGCGGAACCUCCGAGAACGACGACCAGCUGCUGUUUUGUGAUGACUGCGAUCGGGGUUACCACAUGUACUGCCUGAGUCCCCCCAUGGCGGAGCCCCCGGAAGGGAGCUGGAGCUGUCACCUCUGUCUCCGGCACCUGAAGGAAAAGGCUUCUGCUUACAUCACCCUCACCUAGGCCGGCUCGGCUCGCCGCGACUCUGGGGUGGUGCUCGCCUACCUGCCUCUCCGAGCUCCUCAAUUCUCCCCAACCCUGAACGUCCCGCAGGGGGAGGGGGA